GGGGAAUUAACUCAGUGGUCAGAGUGGCUGCCUGUUAAGUAGCUGGUCGAUGGUUCAAAUCCAUCAUUCCCCGCCA
rnacentral:tRNA from 1 species